rnacentral:rRNA from 2 species
ACAAGUACCGUGAGGGAAAGUUGCAAAGCACUUUGAAGAGAGAGUUAAAGAGGACGUGAAACCGAUGAGAUGGAAACGGAUAGGGCCUGCGUAUCCGGCAUGUAUUCAACCAUAUUUUACUUCUGCACUCAGAGUUGUUGGCGCUCCAGAUUGGGACAGCGACCCUGUGCGGACAGCAGUAUUGUGUUGCAUUUGCAUGUGUGGUGCGUAGAGGCAUUCGGGGCGGUGGUUUGAUACCAGUUUUGAGGCCAGCUUGCUGGUACCCAAAUUGGUGAAAAGCCAUUCACUCUGUAUGUGUGUUGUACGCUAUGGGAUUUCCGUACUAGAUUUGGUGCCGAGCUAGGGGUCAGUGGCGGUCGCACGCGACAAUUGCUUUGUACCUUAGUUCGGCCCUAGUCGAGUUCUCAUACGCGUGUUCUCUGCGUAUAAGCUGGUCACCUAUCUGACCCGUCUUGAAACACGGACCAAGGAGUUUAUCGUGUGCGCGAGCCAUUGGGCGUUCAAAACCCAAAGGCGCAAUGAAAGUGAAUGCUCUCGCAAGAGACUAAUGUGCGACCUGGUGCGCCUCGGCGCUCCGGUGCAGCAUGGCCCCAUCCCAACUGCAUGCAAUGGGGUGGCGGAAGAGCGUAUGCGGUGAGACCCGAAAGAUGGUGAACUAUUCCUGAGCAGGAUGAAGCCAGAGGAAACUCUGGUGGAAGUCCGAAGCGAUUCUGACGUGCAAAUCGAUCGUCUGACUUGGGUAUAGGGGCGAAAGACUAAUCGAACCAUCUAGUAGCUGGUUCCUUCCGA